ensembl:lncRNA
UGGAAAUCACAGUUCACUUGAACUAGUGACUCUGGUUAUCAGUAAAUGAAAUCCAGACACCACAGAGUCUAGAAGAUUUUGUAUUCAGUUGAAUUAACAUCCCUUAAACUCAUGUAUCUUGCUCUGUUUCUAGUUUGCCUACAGCCAUCAAAUGCUGUAAUCACUUUCUAUAAGAGUAAAAAGACAAAAUCAUCCCUUUUUUAGUUGGAGCAAUUUUCCUAUAAUACAAAGCAGAACAACCCCCAGCAGCUGCCGUUGUCUUUCACAUGCUUUUUUCCUUUCCUUUUAAAUGUACUCCUUGGUGCAAGAACAUUCCCUUAAGAAAAGAAUAGAAAAAAAAAAGAAUAAAAAUAAGAAUAAUCCUCUAACCAUCCUUUUCCAGCAAUUUGUGCAGUUAUUCUGUCUAGGUAGUAGAUCAGAUUUAAAAUCUAACUGUAGUAUUUUACAUUCAAGUCAGUGUCAGGUUCCACAAAGGCAUUUCAGGAAAUUGUGAGCUCCAACUAAAUGUGCAAUAAAUGGCCACAGAUUUUUCUCUGAUACUCAGGCCUAAGAAUGGCAAAGUGUAGUAUAAUAAAACAGGCUCACUAAGAGUAGAUUUUUCUGGACUUCUCUGAUGUCCUUCCUUGAUAGGAGCAAACAUUUUGCAUGGCACCAAAAUGAAAGUUCUAGAGUAGAGGGCAUCUAAAGGACCUGGAACAUGGCAACAGUGGUGGUAAAGGAAGCAUCAGGAGAAAGAAUGAAAUAUUAUUCACAGGGCUUUUCCUAUUCCACGCUUCCACUAAUACUUUCACUGAAACAUGGGGCAACAUGCUGUCUGACCAGAACUGGGUGGUGGCUCCAUUCAUAGAGAAAAAGUCUAGGAUAUAAUGUGGAAAUGAGGACUGGAGUAAGAGGAAUGGGAUGAAAUCCCACAGAUCAAACUGCAGUAUUGUGUAAUUCUUCUGUACCCAAGGUUUUUAUUGUUGAAAAUGUGUUGAAGAAGAGAAAGAUCUAGGCAUACAAUAAAGGAAGAAAGAAAGAAAGAAAGGAAGAAAGAAAGGAAGAAAGAAAGGAAGAAAAAGAAAAAGAAAGAAAGAAAGAAAGAAAGAAAGAAAGAAAGAAAGAAAGAAAGAAAGAAAGAAAGAAAGAAAGAAAGAAAGAAAAGAUUUCUUUCAUUUCCAGACAUCCUAAUACUAAAUUAUUUUUAAGCAUAUACUGUUCUUGUGAGGAAGAUGUAGCUCCAUUUUAGAAUGGCAGUGCUCUACUGCAUCACAUAUGCAGCCUUUCCAUUUCAGUAAUUAAGUCUCUUAUUGGAGAAGUACUCCAUAAAUUCCCCACAACAUGCUGUAAAGAAAAACAUAUACAUACAGAGUGCAUAAGUGAUUCAGGGACUGG